AACCGUACGGCUAAGAGAGGGAGAUAGUGCCCCGAGAGAGAGAGAGAGAGAGAGAUUCUUUUGAACUUGCUGGAAAUUAAAGAAAGGAAAUAAUGGAAGAUUAUCAAGAAAUGAUCAAAUUAAAGAUUGAAGGUGAUCAGGCAUGUGACCAAGCUUAGAGGCAUCUGCCUAGAAUCUGUUUUUGUCAGCUAACCUAUGUGCCUCCCGUGGAGGUUCCGGAUAUGUCAAGUGUUUAUCGCUAUGUGAUUUAAGGUUCAAGUUUUGUUUUCGUGUUUGGUUGAACAAGUCUUGUGUAUCUUGUAAGUAGGGUUAAGUCCAUUUUAGUCUAAUGUGUACAUAUAUGAUGACUUAAAGAUAAUGUGUUUAUGUGUAUAUAAAAAAUUUAAAAUUUUUCUGUCUCA